rnacentral:lncRNA from 1 species
GACCCAGGGAACCUCACUGGACAGGGCGCCCCAGCCCCGGGGCAGGCGACGAGGAAGAGAGCCGCUGAAUUUGCAGCACACACUCUGAGGGUUUUGAAGCAAAACCAUGCCUGCUGCAGUGGAGAACUACUCCCUGGUUGAAGGCAACUUGUGGCGCACUUCUGGACUCGAGUAGAGACUCAGUGCCUGAUUAUGGGGCACCAAAUGGCCACGUGACCACAUCUGCCUGUCCUGAGCUAGAGAUCGACAGGUCCAUGAAGUCAACAGGUUAGGCAGGCUCAGUAGCAAUUCAUUGCACAGUGAAAAAGAAUUGGAUCCCAGCUUGUCCAGAGAGCACCAGUCAUUUAUAGGAUGAGGCGGCUGUGGCUUCCACGUCUCCUACGCUGUUGCCCCGAUGCCUCUGCCUUAGGAGACAGAAAGGAAAAUUCCGAUCUUCUGGUUCACAGGGAGAGAGUGGAGUGGACAGAGCUGUGGUCUAAGGAAAGAAUGCACGUGAAUUUCUGAGUGGUGACAGAUGUCUCUUUGGCUGCCCAGGGACGUGGGAAGAGCAAGAAGGGAAUGCUGGAGACAAGUCUGGGAAAGAUGAUGUGGAAGUCCUCACAAAUGUGUGCAUCUGUGUGCCUCAUGUUAAUGUCCACUGCAGAGGGGUCACCGAAUGACAAAAUGACUUGUUGCUUUGUCAGCUUCUGUCCUUGGCUACCCUUGUGCUUGGAUGGUGGGCCCAUGAAUGGAACUGCCAUGGUGGCAGCAGUGCUGGUUGUGUCUACUAGCGUGGGCUCUCUCUUAUCAAGACUUGUGUAAUUAUUACUGUGGCUGAAUUUCCGACCCCUGGUGUGGCACCAUCCCUGGAUGAUUCAGUGACAAGUUGGUUUCAGCAGAUCCUUUCCAUCCAGAAGAGGGCAUUGAUUCAUCCUUAAUGGAAGUGACACCUGCUCUGGAUGUGGGUUUGCUUUCCCAUAUCCACAUAUCCACAAUGUCUUAGGGAAGUAUCGCCAUCCAGAACCUUCAAGAAUGUUGGAUUUACCCACAUGGUAUCAUGCAUAAUAUUACUUUGGAUCAAAGAACUCAUUUUACAAUGAAAGAAAGAUGACAACAUUAUGAAUUGCCAUGGGAGCCACUGCUUCUCUAAUAUCCUGAAUUAGCCUCAAGCAGCCCAUCUGUUAGAAAGAUGGAAUGUUCUCUUAGAGACUUAGCAAAGGUCCCAGCUCUGGGACAGUAGCCUGAAGAGUGGGAUAUAUACCUUGAUUUAAAGCCCAGUGUGAGGUGCUGGGCCCCAGCGGAUACAACAUAUGGAUCCAGGAACAGACACAGGCCUAAGAGCCCAGGAUUGGGGAAAUCUCUCACCGUCGCUCUCAGCGAUCCGUUCGUAGAGUAUGUGCAUUCUGUCUCUAGCAUUAAACUCUGCUACACGGGUAGGGGAUAUUCCAUGAUGGGACCUCCACUGGUUGGAGGGAAGGGCACCCAUACCAGCCUCAGUGUGAACGUUCCAUGAGGUCACUGAACUCAUGCUUGUGAACCAGCAGAAAAAGGAGGGGAUAAUUGAUUUCUUUUUUUAAAAAAUAUUUAUUUAUUCAUGAGAGACACGGGGGUGGGGCAGAGACACAGGCAGAGGGAGAAGCAGGCUCCAUGCAGGGAGCCCGACACGGGACUCGAUCCCAGGACCCUGGGGUCACGCCCUGAGCUGAAGGUAGACGUCCGACCGCUGGGCCACUCAGGCGUCCCGAUAAUUGAUUUCUGAUGAUUGUGAGGAGAUCGGGUCUCUGCUGCUUAGGGACCAUCAAGAGCUUGCAUGGGACUUUGAGGAUUUACCUGGAUCUAUCUGGUUGCUUCCAUGCCAAGCGAUAACAGCGAAAAGCAUUUUCAUCGGCCUCAGCCUACCAAGGGCAAGAGAGGUUUCAUGAGUAACCCCAUGAAAUGCUGGCUAAGGGCGAGAGAAAUCUAGAAUAGGCAGGGAAGGAAAAUGAGUAUCAGAGCCCCAGGAGCAGCUGCAGGAGUGUGGACUAUUUUUGUUGUAUCGAGGCUUGCAUAGAGGCUGUGGCCAGGCUUCCUCUGGAAGACUCAUGACAGAUGGGACUUUCUGUGGUGCCCGAGUACAUCUGAGGGAUGUAUGUGCUGCUGUGCUGACUGAUGCCCUCGGCGCACCUUAAAUCACAGAGGAUCUGCAGAGCUACACUCUGGCACCUGCUGUGUGUCUUCAGCGUCUGCCCUCCUCUGAUGCCAGCACAGCCCAGGUGUCUGGAGGCGACCUCAGGGGCGGGGGACUGGAGGCAGUGGGUGAAUAAUGGGGCAGUCGCAGGAGGGCCGGUGAAGUCAGGGUUGUUCGCCGGCAGUGACCUCAGGAACACUGUGCUUUGGUUCCUCCUUUUCUUGCUCAGCCCCUCCCUCACUUCUGUUUCAGGAGAUCAGUUCCUGAACAAACCACGUACGCCCAAGUCUUCGUCAUAGGCUCUGCUUUCCAAAGAACCCAAACAAAGACACACCAUAAAAGAACAAAGAUUUUUGCCAAUUUAUAUCCACAAAAAAAAAAAAAAAA